GUCUGUGUGUAUUUAGCAGUCUGUCUGUGUAUUUAGCAGUCUGUCUGUAUUUAGCAGACUGCUGAAUACACACACAGACUGCUGAGUACACAGU